rnacentral:rRNA from 1 species
UACGUAGGGGGCUAACGUUGUCCGGAUUUAUUGGGCGUAAAGAGCGUGUAGGCGGCCAGAUAGGUCCUCUGUGAAAACUCGAGGCUUAACCUCGAGAUGUCGGUGGAAACCAUCUGGCUAGAGUCCGGAAGAGGAGAGUGGAAUUCCUGGUGUAGCGGUGAAAUGCGCAGAUAUCAGGAGGAACACCCGUGGCGAAAGCGGCUCUCUGGGACGGUACUGACGCUGAGACGCGAAAGCGUGGGGAGCAAACAGG